GAUGUAAAAAAACCAGUAAAAAGCUAAUUGGAUGCACAUGUGUGACACCCCACCACAAACCCUCAAAGGAUUCUUGUGUUGCAAUGUCUCUACUUGUGAACCAGGAGGUCCUGCGUUCAAGUACCAGCUGCUCCAGAGCUAACUGAAGAGUUUGGAAAGAUGGAAGCCAAUUCAUCCUUCCUUGCCUGGUCACAAUAAAAGGCACUGUGCACACCUGGA